rnacentral:sRNA from 1 species
UUUCAAGCACAAGCUUUUGUGCUCUCUUCUGGGCAGCUCGUAGCUGGCUGCCUGGUUGUAUAACAGUUCAAAAGAGCUGUCUAGAGAGAACAAGUUUGCAUAGCUGUGGCCAACACACUCCCCCCCCUUGCCGACCACGGCCUGAACCAACGGAAAGUCUGGUGGAAUUUGGACGCGUCAACAUCCUCCGCCUUGGUUAUUUUCUUGUUCUUGCUUCUACUGCCCGUGCCCGUGGGCUCGUCUCGCACUCUGCCGAGGGCCGGCCGUCCGCGCAACCCCCCUCUGCACCAACAAGUGAUUUGCUGUUGUGUGUGUAAGUGUAAGAAGGUACGUGCCAAGAGUCUUGCUCCAGCGCAACAACUGAGAGGCUCUCUUUGAUUGAGUUUACUCUCUCCCGCUCUCCACCCAGGUCAGCGGUAAAUCGGUACAGUGCAUAAACAUUGAUACAAGCGAUACGAUUGAUCCCGCAUGAUGAGUCAGCGGCGUUGAACGGCUGAACAUUGAACGAUGGACAGGCGCCCCCGCCCCCGCCCCCAAUAACGCGUCGGAAGAUAUGGGGUUCCAGGAAUCCCAAUCGCCAUCCUCGUUCCUCCCCUCCCUCCUGCCAACCACGCCCUCAGUAUUUCGUCAGAAAAGCUUGAGCUUACAACUGUCCUACGAGCACAUCCUGUGUCACCUUCAACUGUCAUACGCGGACGACGGCGACGUCGCUGCCCGUUGCUGCUGCCUGCUGCCUGCUGUUGAUGUUGGCAGCGGCCUGUGCAGAGAGUAUUCGGGAAUCCAGUUUUUGGGGGCUCGCCCCGUCACACACAAAGCCACAUAGUGUGCUGUAUAUGUAUGUACAUAUACAUUAACUUAUAUAUACAUACAUAUACAUAUGUAUAUGUAUGUAGAUGUUUGAGUGCGAGGGGUUGCUUUUGCGCUUGUCCGUUUUGUUACAUAUUACAAACAUAUUGUACAUAAUAUAUACAAAAUAAUUGAUUUUUGUUAGUAUUUUAUCGUGGGUAUUACAUACAUACAUAUAUGUAUGUAUGUACCUACUCUUUGAGUGUGUGACGUCAAUGAUGAUGACGUCGCCGAAGCAGCGUCGUCUGUCUGAUGAAACGCAACCCACUCAGCCUCUGCCUCAGUCCAGAGGUCAAUGCAGCGACAGAGCGGCGCAGCGGCUAAUGACAGAGAGUGGAAAAUUUGUGAAAAUCACAAAAUCCUAGAGAGGAUGGGUGACAGAAAGAGAGACAGAUAGAGAGAGAGCGAGAGCGAAAGCGAGAUGCUAUCCGGCCUUCGCUCAUGAGGAAAAGUCAUUAAUUAUAAUACUUAUUGUAUUUGGCAAGCCGUAAAUAAACUUCACGUGACGCUCGAAAAACGCGGAAAACACA